CCAAUAGCGUAUAUUAAAGUUGUUGCAGUUAAAAAACUCGUAGUUGAAUUUCGGGAUUCGUCCAUUGGUCAGGCUUAACUGUCUGUACUGGUGUGUCGGAUUUCUACCUUCUGAAGAACCUUUAUGCCAUUAAUUUGGUGUGUUGGGGAAUCAGGACUGUUACUUUGAAAAAAUUAGAGUGUUUAAAGCAGGCUAACGUCUGAAUACAUUAGCAUGGAAUAAUGAAAUAGGACGGUACGGUUCUAUUUUGUUGGUUUCUAGGAUCGCCGUAAUGAUUAAUAGGGAUAGUUGGGGGCAUUAGUAUUCAAUUGUCAGAGGUGAAAUUCUUGGAUUUAUUGAAGACUAACUACUGCGAAAGCAUUUGCCAAGGAUGUUUUCAUUAAUCAAGAACGAAAGUUAGGGGAUCGAAGACGAUCAGAUACCGUCGUAGUCUUAACCAUAAACUAUGCCGACUAGGGAUUGGACGAUGUUAAUUUUUUAAUGACUCGUUCAGCACCUUACG
rnacentral:rRNA from 1 species